GUGUAAUUGUCAUUUUCUAUUAAAGUGAACGUCUCAAGAUAACGUGGGCGUGGUUUAUGAACCUUGUUACCAACAUGUUAGAAUUACUUAACCCACAUCCCCAGUUUAUCAAUAAUAACACCGGCGUGUAAACACUACAGCAUCAAUAGAAACUUACAGAAUUAUUUUAAUGCAAAACAUAAGUAGUAGGAGGGACUAACGUUACGUACAGAAGCACUUCACGCGGAAAGUUACUUACAGAAAACAGGGUGUUUGGACACCCAGUCAACAGAUGCAGAGCUCUGGGACAUGUGGAAAGAUAUUUGCUUUAAUGAUGGACAUCUGCUCAUGGACAGCUGAAAAGCAUAACCACUGCCAAACAUUAUGCUGGGACCCCAACCAUCCCCACCCCUUCACUCAUAAUGCAGAGAUUUGCCUGGGCUCAAACCAGCAACCUCUGAACCAUGAGGCAGUGUUCUUACCUGUGAGCCAUAGAUCUCUUGUUGAAAUGUGUGAAGGAACUUAUAGUUCACUGUUAACCUGUA